UUACGGUCAUAUCACGUUGUAACACCGCUUCCCGUACGAUCACCGUAGUUAAGCAACGUAGAACCUGGUCACUCUCUUGAUGGGUGGCAGCUUGGAAAUACCAGGUACUGUAA